AUUGAACGCUGGCGGCAGGCCUAACACAUGCAAGUCGAGCGAGCGGCGGACGGGUGAGUAAUGUAUGGGGACUGCCCGAUAGAGGGGGGUAACUCCUGGAAACGCUAGCUUAUACCGCAUACUAUCGGAUAACCCAUAUGGGAUUAGCUAGUAGGGGAGGUAAUGGCUCACCUAGGCGCCGAUCCCUAGCUGGUCUGAGAGGAUGAUCAGCCACACGGGAAGUGAGACACGGCCCAGACUCCGACGGAGGCAGCAGUGGGGAAUAUUGCACAAGGGGCGCAAGCCUGAUGCAGCCAUGCCGCGUGGAUGAAGAAGGCCCUAGGGUUGUAAAGUACUUUCAGUCGGGAGGCGUUACCGACAGAAGAAGCACCGGCUAACUCCGUACCAGCAGCCGCGGUAAUAC
rnacentral:rRNA from 1 species